UGGGGGAUAUUGCACAAUGGGCGAAAGCCUGAUGCAGCGACGCCGCGUGGGGGAUGAAGGCUUUCGGGUUGUAAACCUCUUUCGCUAUCGAACAAGGCCCGCUUAGGGUGGGUUGAGGGUAGGUGGAGAAGAAGCGCCGGCUAACUACGUGCCAGCAGCCGCGGUAAUACGUAGGGCGCGAGCGUUGUCCGGAAUUAUUGGGCGUAAAGGGCUUGUAGGCGGCUUGUUGCGCCUGCUGUGAAAACGCGGGGCUUAACUGCGCGCGUGCAGUGGGUACGGGCGGGCUUGAGUGUGGUAGGGGUGACUGGAAUUCCAGGUGUAGCGGUGGAAUGCGCAGAUAUCUGGAGGAACACCGAUGGCGAAGGCAGGUCACUGGGCCAUUACUGACGCUGAGGAGCGAAAGCAUGGGUAGCGAACAGG
rnacentral:rRNA from 1 species